rnacentral:rRNA from 1 species
GGGGAAUAUUGCACAAUGGGGGAAACCCUGAUGCAGCCAUGCCGCGUGUGUGAAGAAGGCCUUCGGGUUGUAAAGCACUUUCAGCGAGGAGGAAAGGUCAGUAGCUAAUAUCUGCUGACUGUGACGUUACUCGCAGAAGAAGCACCGGCUAACUCCGUGCCAGCAGCCGCGGUAAUACGGAGGGUGCAAGCGUUAAUCGGAAUUACUGGGCGUAAAGCGCACGCAGGCGGUUGGAUAAGUUAGAUGUGAAAGCCCCGGGCUCAACCUGGGAAUUGCAUUUAAAACUGUCCAGCUAGAGUCUUGUAGAGGGGGGUAGAAUUCCAGGUGUAGCGGUGAAAUGCGUAGAGAUCUGGAGGAAUACCGGUGGCGAAGGCGGCCCCCUGGACAAAGACUGACGCUCAGGUGCGAAAGCGUGGGGAGCAAAC